AAAGUCUUUUUUUGUCAGUUUGAACUUGGUUAUGCAUUCUGCUGUUGGAAUGUGAAAACUGAAUAAACUGGCAGAGUGAAAGCAACUGAUACAAAGAUUGAGACAUGGGACUGAGAAAAAGAUACCAGAAACCAAGCCACGAAGUCUAUCUUCUAUUUACCAGAUGAAAUUCUCAAGUCAUGAACACUUCACUGGAAUGAAAGAACAGUCUAAGACUUUACCUAUGGCAAUAUGACAAUUACUCUGUGAAAAAGAACCAUGACAACAUGGAGAAUAAUGCAUGAUGCUGGACAAUUGAUGAAGAC